UUUUAAGAACCCAUUUUAUCUUUUAUUUCUAGUGUUUUUCAAAAAAGAAGCAGAGUGCUUCUUCUUCCCUGCUCCCUCUCCAUUUUUGCUAGGGAUUCAACCUAGCUUGCGCCACCCUGGAGGAUCAUCGGUGCCACGCACCUCCACCCCAUCGCCGGUUCACGGAUCAAGACCGGGUGUUGUUGCGGAUAUCUCGGAAGCAUGAGGCGCGCCAAAAAGGGACUGCUGGUAGCGCACGUUUCGGAGGUACGGUGGAUGGUGGAAGCACGUACGAUGUGGGGAUUGGGGUAUUGAGGGAAAUUUUGUUUUGGUUUUGGGCUGUUUUGGGUUAUAGGAUUGGGCUAGUGGUUAAUGGGUUUGAUUAGUGGGCUAGGCAAAGAAAAUUGGUCCAACAAAGGGAUUUGACUAACUCAAUGAGGAAUUUCAAAAUAAUGAUAUCCAAGUUUUUAGUAGAAUUAAUUAUAUGUUUUAUUUGAACUUUCUAUAACUAUUUUCCACUUGUAACAACAACAUUUAUAGUUACAAAGUACAUUAUUAAAUUAGUUAUAAA